GCACAAAUAAUGUAUGAUUUAGAUGUAUUUUCCCUAACACCCGCUUCUUCUCUGAGAAGCACAACUUUUGUUAUAUUACAGGAGAGAGAACUACACCGAACAAAAAUGUACAUGCAACAAUUUCAAAGAUUUUACUGAGUUAUAGUUCAUAUAAGGAAAUUGGUCAAUUUAAACGAAUAGAUUCGGCCCUAAUCUAUGGAUUUCCCAUAACUGGGAUAAUAUAUAUAUGCGUCUGUUGGUCACAGAUACCUUGAAAAAAAGUAGGGGCGUGGCUCAGAAAACUAGUGUCAUCUGUCAUAAAUGUCAUCUGGUGUGACCACCAUUUGCCUCAUGCAGCGCAACACAUUUAUUUCGCAUAGAGUUGAUCAGGCUGUUGAUUGUGGCCUGUGGAAUGUUUUCCCAGUUCUCUUCAAUGGCUGUGCGAAGUUGCUGGAUAUUGCCAGGAACUGGACCACUGUCAUACAGAUUGAUCCAGAGCAUCCCAAACAUGCUCAAUGGGUGACAUGUCUGCUUAUGCCUGCCCAUACCAUAAACCUGCCGAAACCAUGGGGCACUCUGUUCACAACGUUGACACCAGGAAACCGCUCGCCCACACAAUGCCAUACACGCUGUCUGCCAUCUGCCCGGUACAGUUGAAACUGUGACUCAUCUGUGAAGGGUACACGUCUCCAGCGUGCCAGUGGCCAUCGAAGGUGACAUUUUCCGACUGAAGUCUUACGCCGAAGUGCAGUCAGGUCAAGACCCUGGUGAGGACAAGGAGCACACAGAUGAGCUUCCCUGAGACGGUUCUGACAGUUUGUACAGAACAUUCUUUCGUUAUGCAAACACAGUUUCAUCAGCUGUCCGGGUGGCUGGUCUCAGACCAUCCCGCAGGUGAAGAAGCCGGAUGUGGAGGUCCGGGGUUGGCAUGGUCCUUGGUUGUGAGGCCGGUUCAACGUACUACCAAAUUCUCUAAAAUGACAUUGGAGGCGGCUGAUAGUAGACAAAUUAAUAUUAAAUUAUCUGGCAAAAGCUCUGGUGGACAUUCCUGCAGUUAGCAUGCCAAUGGCACCCUCCCUCAACUUGAGACAUCGGUGGCGUUGUGUGACAAAACUGUACAUUUUAGAGUGGCCUUUGUAAUGAUCAUGCUGUUUAAUCAGCUUCUUGAUAUGCCACACCUGUCAGGAGGAUGUAUUAUCUUGGCAAAGAAGAAACACUCUCUAACAGGGAUGUAAACAAAUUUGUGCACAGAAUUUGAGAGAAAUAAGCUUUUUGUGCGUAUGGAACAUUUCUGGGAUCUUUUAUUUCAGCUCAUGAAACGUGGGACCAACACUUCACAUGUUGCAUUUAUAUUUUUGUUCAGUAUAUUUAGAUGGUUUUGUUGUUUAAUACAUAGUUAUGGAAACACUUUCAUAGGGAUAUAUUUAUACUGUAUAUCCAAGGCCUGUAAUUGAAUGCUGCACUAUGUAGAGACACUGAAAGGCCAAUGUGAAAAUAUAUACAUUUUGUACUUUAUUUUAAUAUCUUUUCAUUUAGAUAAGUUUUUUCAUGCAGUACAUUGUUGUUAUAAGUUACUCAAGCAGUUCACCCUUUACCCAAGAUAAUAUACAUGACUGAACAUUUUCAAAUUGUUCACAUGAAAUUGUUUUUUAGCUAGAGCUUUUGUGUUAUCAAGAAACACGGUCACUUUUUAUUGACAUUUGUUAAUCACCUGGAAUAUGAUAAGCCCCUUGUAAUGCUUUUCAGUCAAAAAUGUGUUUUUAAUUCAUUGUUGGUUAUCUACUAAAAGAGGAAUUUUACAGUGAGUCGUCAGCACAGCCGUACGUUUCAACAAGGACUGUUCAGGCUGCUCAUGUGAACCCUAAUACCAUUGUGAGAUCUGGCUUGUGAACCCUUUCCAUAACAGGCUUAGGAAUGGAAAUAUUGUGUGGGUGUCUACUGUACACCACAGGGAAGGCCUGGUGCUCUGUUUGUUUAGGCCUGAAGCAUGUUCAAUCAGAAUUAUAGCACAGACAUGUUGCCAAUGUACAUAUGUAUUGUCUGUGGUGUCAUUUGACUUAAAAAAAAAACAAAGUCUCCAAUUCAUUACAGAGAUUGUUUAAGAUGAGUGCUGUUUUAGAAUAAUACACUUUACUGAUCCAUAUCAAUAAUACACUUUACUGAUCCAUACCCUGGCUUUUAAUUACUUGUAUGUAGAUUUACUCUGUUGUGUUGUGGAUGGGAUGGUGGCAGUACUGUAUCUAUGAAGCAUGGUCAAUGUAGCCUCUGUAGUUGCUUC
ensembl:lncRNA